rnacentral:rRNA from 1 species
AUUGAACGCUGGCGGAAUGCUUUACACAUGCAAGUCGAACGGCAGCACGGGGGCAGCCCUGGUGGCGAGUGGCGAACGGGUGAGUAAUACAUCGGAACGUGCCCGGUCGUGGGGGAUAACGUAGCGAAAGUUACGCUAAUACCGCAUACGAUCUGAGGAUGAAAGCGGGUGACCUUCGGGCCUCGCGCGAUCGUAGCGGCCGAUGUCAGAUUAGGUAGUUGGUGGGGUAAAGGCCUACCAAGCCGACGAUCUGUAGCUGGUCUGAGAGGACGACCAGCCACACUGGGACUGAGACACGGCCCAGACUCCUACGGGAGGCAGCAGUGGGGAAUUUUGGACAAUGGGCGCAAGCCUGAUCCAGCCAUUCCGCGUGCAGGACGAAGGCCUUCGGGUUGUAAACUGCUUUUGUACGGAACGAAAAGGCUCUGGCUAAUACCUGGGGCUCAUGACGGUACCGUAAGAAUAAGCACCGGCUAACUACGUG